UACGGGGGGGGCAAGCGUUGUUCGGAAUUACUGGGCGUAAAGGGCGCGUAGGCGGCCUUCUAAGUCGGACGUGAAAUCCCUCGGCUUAACCGAGGAACUGCGUCCGAUACUGAAAGGCUUGAAUCCGGGAGAGGGAUGUGGAAUUUCCGGUGUAGCGGUGAAAUGCGUAGAUAUCGGAAGGAACAUCAGUGGCGAAAGCGACUUCCUGGACCAAUACUGACGCUCAUGUGCGAAAGCGUGGGGAGCAAACAGG
rnacentral:rRNA from 1 species